CCAUGGGGAGCCACUGAAUUGUAGUCUGGGUGUGGAUGUGAGGCAGGAAAUUAGCAGCACCUGAUUUAUGACCCUGGUUGCUAUGUACAAAACAGACUUCAAGUGUGGACAAAGAAGAAGCAAGGAUAUGGCUGAGAGGCUGCCACAGUGCCCAAGUGACAUACCACGAUGGCCUGAACCAGGAAGACACCAGCAGCAAUGUAUCUGUCCUGACAAGCUCAGUGACCAACCAAACUGCAAGUCCCUUGAAGCCACCCCUGGAGGGUCCCUGUGCUCUAUGGAACAGCUCCUGCUAUAGCAGACAUUCCGUUAAUGCUGUUGGAUGACAAAACUGUGAUGGAGUAGCCGCAGGACUUCCGACCACAUGCUGCCCUGCUGGGAGACCUUCAGCUCUACUCUUCCUGAUGAAAUGCAAGAAUUACCAAAAGAAUCCACAAAAUCCACUGCAUGGACAAAUUGCAAAACCAAUUGGCUUGGUUUUGCGUCAGUUUUGCAGGGCUUCUUAAAACAGUUCUAUAAAAGAAAGGUUGAGGACAAAUAUGAGUGGGUCGGUACUAAAGAAUGACGGCUACUUUUGCACAAGAAAUCAAGUUGGCAAUUAAUUAUUAAUUAAUUAAAAAAUCAAUUAUCGGAA